CAGUAGCCACGGUAAUACGUAGGGUGCAAGCGUUAAUCGGAAUUACUGGGCGUAAAGCGUGCGCAGGCGGUUUUGUAAGACAGAGGUGAAAUCCCCGGGCUCAACCUGGGAACUGCCUUUGUGACUGCAAGGCUAGAGUACGGCAGAGGGGGAUGGAAUUCCGCGUGUAGCAGUGAAAUGCGUAGAUAUGCGGAGGAACACCGAUGGCGAAGGCAAUCCCCUGGGCCUGUACUGACGCUCAUGCACGAAAGCGUGGGGAGCAAACAGGAUUAGAUACCCCCGUAGUCCCUGUCUCUUAUAA
rnacentral:rRNA from 1 species